AGCGUACACGGUGGAUGCCCUGGCAGUCAGAGGCGAUGAAGGACGUGCUAAUCUGCGAUAAGCGUCGGUAAGGUGAUAUGAACCGUUAUAACCGGCGAUUUCCGAAUGGGGAAACCCAGUGUGAUUCGUCACACUAUCAUUAACUGAAUCCAUAGGUUAAUGAGGCGAACCGGGGGAACUGAAACAUCUAAGUACCCCGAGGAAAAGAAAUCAACCGAGAUUCCCCCAGUAGCGGCGAGCGAACGGGGAGCAGCCCAGAGCCUGAAUCAGUGUGUGUGUUAGUGGAAGCGUCUGGAAAGGCGCGCGAUACAGGGUGACAGCCCCGUACACAAAAAUGCACAUACUGUGAGCUCGAUGAGUAGGGCGGGACACGUGGUAUCCUGUCUGAAUAUGGGGGGACCAUCCUCCAAGGCUAAAUACUCCUGACUGACCGAUAGUGAACCAGUACCGUGAGGGAAAGGCGAAAAGAACCCCGGCGAGGGGAGUGAAAAAGAACCUGAAACCGUGUACGUACAAGCAGUGGGAGCACAGAGCAAUCUGUGUGACUGCGUACCUUUUGUAUAAUGGGUCAGCGACUUAUAUUCUGUAGCAAGGUUAACCGAAUAGGGGAGCCGAAGGGAAACCGAGUCUUAACUGGGCGUUAAGUUGCAGGGUAUAGACCCGAAACCCGGUGAUCUAGCCAUGGGCAGGUUGAAGGUUGGGUAACACUAACUGGAGGACCGAACCGACUAAUGUUGAAAAAUUAGCGGAUGACUUGUGGCUGGGGGUGAAAGGCCAAUCAAACCGGGAGAUAGCUGGUUCUCCCCGAAAGCUAUUUAGGUAGCGCCUCGUGAAUUCAUCUCCGGGGGUAGAGCACUGUUUCGGCAAGGGGGUCAUCCCGACUUACCAACCCGAUGCAAACUGCGAAUACCGGAGAAUGUUAUCACGGGAGACACACGGCGGGUGCUAACGUCCGUCGUGAAGAGGGAAACAACCCAGACCGCCAGCUAAGGUCCCAAAGUCAUGGUUAAGUGGGAAACGAUGUGGGAAGGCCCAGACAGCCAGGAUGUUGGCUUAGAAGCAGCCAUCAUUUAAAGAAAGCGUAAUAGCUCACUGGUCGAGUCGGCCUGCGCGGAAGAUGUAACGGGGCUAAACCAUGCACCGAAGCUGCGGCAGCGACGCUUAUGCGUUGUUGGGUAGGGGAGCGUUCUGUAAGCCUGCGAAGGUGUACUGUGAGGUAUGCUGGAGGUAUCAGAAGUGCGAAUGCUGACAUAAGUAACGAUAAAGCGGGUGAAAAGCCCGCUCGCCGGAAGACCAAGGGUUCCUGUCCAACGUUAAUCGGGGCAGGGUGAGUCGACCCCUAAGGCGAGGCCGAAAGGCGUAGUCGAUGGGAAACAGGUUAAUAUUCCUGUACUUGGUGUUACUGCGAAGGGGGGACGGAGAAGGCUAUGUUGGCCGGGCGACGGUUGUCCCGGUUUAAGCGUGUAGGCUGGUUUUCCAGGCAAAUCCGGAAAAUCAAGGCUGAGGCGUGAUGACGAGGCACUACGGUGCUGAAGCAACAAAUGCCCUGCUUCCAGGAAAAGCCUCUAAGCAUCAGGUAACAUCAAAUCGUACCCCAAACCGACACAGGUGGUCAGGUAGAGAAUACCAAGGCGCUUGAGAGAACUCGGGUGAAGGAACUAGGCAAAAUGGUGCCGUAACUUCGGGAGAAGGCACGCUGAUAUGUAGGUGAAGUCCCUCGCGGAUGGAGCUGAAAUCAGUCGAAGAUACCAGCUGGCUGCAACUGUUUAUUAAAAACACAGCACUGUGCAAACACGAAAGUGGACGUAUACGGUGUGACGCCUGCCCGGUGCCGGAAGGUUAAUUGAUGGGGUUAGCGCAAGCGAAGCUCUUGAUCGAAGCCCCGGUAAACGGCGGCCGUAACUAUAACGGUCCUAAGGUAGCGAAAUUCCUUGUCGGGUAAGUUCCGACCUGCACGAAUGGCGUAAUGAUGGCCAGGCUGUCUCCACCCGAGACUCAGUGAAAUUGAACUCGCUGUGAAGAUGCAGUGUACCCGCGGCAAGACGGAAAGACCCCGUGAACCUUUACUAUAGCUUGACACUGAACAUUGAGCCUUGAUGUGUAGGAUAGGUGGGAGGCUUUGAAGUGUGGACGCCAGUCUGCAUGGAGCCGACCUUGAAAUACCACCCUUUAAUGUUUGAUGUUCUAACGUUGACCCGUAAUCCGGGUUGCGGACAGUGUCUGGUGGGUAGUUUGACUGGGGCGGUCUCCUCCUAAAGAGUAACGGAGGAGCACGAAGGUUGGCUAAUCCUGGUCGGACAUCAGGAGGUUAGUGCAAUGGCAUAAGCCAGCUUGACUGCGAGCGUGACGGCGCGAGCAGGUGCGAAAGCAGGUCAUAGUGAUCCGGUGGUUCUGAAUGGAAGGGCCAUCGCUCAACGGAUAAAAGGUACUCCGGGGAUAACAGGCUGAUACCGCCCAAGAGUUCAUAUCGACGGCGGUGUUUGGCACCUCGAUGUCGGCUCAUCACAUCCUGGGGCUGAAGUAGGUCCCAAGGGUAUGGCUGUUCGCCAUUUAAAGUGGUACGCGAGCUGGGUUUAGAACGUCGUGAGACAGUUCGGUCCCUAUCUGCCGUGGGCGCUGGAGAACUGAGGGGGGCUGCUCCUAGUACGAGAGGACCGGAGUGGACGCAUCACUGGUGUUCGGGUUGUCAUGCCAAUGGCACUGCCCGGUAGCUAAAUGCGGAAGAGAUAAGUGCUGAAAGCAUCUAAGCACGAAACUUGCCCCGAGAUGAGUUCUCCCUGACUCCUUGA
rnacentral:rRNA from 1 species